rnacentral:rRNA from 1 species
GAUCUGGCUCAGGAUGAACGCUGGCGGCCGUGCUUAACACAUGCAAGUCGAGCGAAGCGCUUUCUUGAUUCUCGAUGAAGAGAGGGAUGAUUGAGCGGCGGACGGGUGAGUAACGCGUGGGUAACCUGCCUCUAGUCAGGGGGAUAACAGUUAGAAAUGACUGCUAAUACCGCAUAAGCGCACACACAGGCAUCUGUGAGUGUGAAAAACUCCGGUGGAUAGAGAUGGACCCGCGUCGGAUUAGCCAGUUGGCGGGGUAACGGCCCACCAAAGCGACGAUCCGUAGCCGGCCUGAGAGGGGCGACCGGCCACAUUGGGACUGAGACACGGCCCAAACUCCUACGGGAGGCAGCAGUGGGGAAUAUUGCACAAUGGGGGGAAACCCUGAUGCAAGCGACGCCGCGUGAGUGAUGAAGUAUUUCGGUACGUAAAGCUCUAUCAGCAGGGAAGAAGACGACGGUACCUGACUAAGAAGCCCCGGCUAACUACGUGCCAGCAGCAGC